GGCCUCUGUCCCGUAGAGCUGUGGGAGGUCCCUUUUCUCCUCAGCCAGGACUGGGGGCCAAGAUCAGCCCUUUGAGCACCAUAGCUGGGGCUGCCAUGAGCUGGGCAGCCUUGUUUUCCUAGCUCAGACAUCU